rnacentral:rRNA from 1 species
GAGUUUGAUUCUGGCUCAGAACGAACGCUGGCGGUGCGUUUUAAGCAUGCAAGUCGAACGGUAAAAAGAGAGCUUGCUCUCUUUGAGAGUGGCGGACUGGUGAGUAACGCGUGGAUGAUCUACCUUUGAGAUGGGGAUAGCUUCUAGAAAUAGGAGAUAAUACCGAAUAACCUUGUUGUGUUUUGAUGUAACAAGAAAAGGAGCGUCAGCUCCGCUCGAAGAUGAGUCUGCGUCCCAUUAGCUAGUUGGUAGGGUAAAGGCUUACCAAGGCGACGAUGGGUAUCCGGCCUGAGAGGGUGAACGGACACAUUGGGACUGAGAUACGGCCCAAACUCCUACGGGAGGCAGCAGCUGAGAAUCUUCCGCAAUGGACGAAAGUCUGACGGAGCGACACCGCGUGAACGAUGAAGGCCGGAAGGUUGUAAAGUUCUUUUGCAGACAAAGAAUAAGGAUAGAAGGAAAUGACUAUCUGAUGACGGU